rnacentral:rRNA from 1 species
AGUCGACGAUGAAUCUUCUAGCUUGCUAGAAGUGGAUUAGUGGCGCACGGGUGAGUAAUGCAUAGGUUAUGUGCCCUUUAGUCUGGGAUAGCCACUGGAAACGGUGAUUAAUACUGGAUACUCCCUACGGGGGAAAGUUUUUCGCUAAAGGAUCAGCCUAUGUCCUAUCAGCUUGUUGGUGAGGUAAUGGCUCACCAAGGCUAUGACGGGUAUCCGGCCUGAGAGGGUGAUCGGACACACUGGAACUGAGACACGGUCCAGACUCCUACGGGAGGCAGCAGUAGGGAAUAUUGCUCAAUGGGGGAAACCCUGAAGCAGCAACGCCGCGUGGAGGAUGAAGGUUUUAGGAUUGUAAACUCCUUUUGUUAGAGAAGAUUAUGACGGUAUCUAACGAAUAAGCACCGGCUAACUCCGUGCCAGCAGCCGCGGUAAUACGGAGGGUGCAAGCGUUACUCGGAAUCACUGGGCGUAAAGAGUGCGUAGGCGGGGUAAUAAGUCAGAUGUGAAAUCCUGUAGCUUAACUACAGAACUGCAUUUGAAACUGUUACUCUGGAGUGUGGGAGAGGUAGGUGGAAUUCUUGGUGUAGGGGUAAAAUCCGUAGAGAUCAAGAGGAAUACUCAUUGCGAAGGCGACCUGCUGGAACAUUACUGACGCUGAUGCACGAAAGCGUGGGGAGCAAACAGGAUUAGAUACCCUGGUAGUCCACGCCCUAAACGAUGGAUGCUAGUUGUUGCCUUGCUUGUCAGGGCAGUAAUGCAGCUAACGCAUUAAGCAUCCCGCCUGGGGAGUACGGUCGCAAGAUUAAAACUCAAAGGAAUAGACGGGGACCCGCACAAGCGGUGGAGCAUGUGGUUUAAUUCGAAGAUACGCGAAGAACCUUACCUAGGCUUGACAUUGAU